rnacentral:lncRNA from 1 species
AGCACCCAGGGAGGCUGUGUUCAGACGGACAGCCCAUUGUCUGUGCUUCUCCAGUUUCAUCAGGCAGUUUUAGAGGCAUUAAACCCGAACAGGUCACACUGGGCUAACGAAUUUCAUUCUGCGUGGACGACGAUGACCCACGAACCAAAGCCGGCAACUGUGACCUCUGGCCGUGUGGUCUCACAGUGGCGGUGGUUGACAGGUGGCUGGAUCCUGGGCCAGGGAUUCAGGCAAAGGAAAUUUGAAAGUGUGUUCUGGGGAAGACAGCAUGGAACCUUAUUCUGACGGGGUUGCACAGCACCAAGGCAAU